rnacentral:rRNA from 1 species
AAGUCUGGUGCCAGCAGCCGCGGUAAUUCCAGCUCCAAUAGCGUAUAUUAAAAUUGUUGCAGUUAAAAAGCUCGUAGUUGAAUUUCUGCUGCAUCGCGUCUUCUUUUUGAUGAGUUGGCGUAUUGCGGCUUUUUUCGGAUGAUUUUUUUGUCCGGAUGAUUACUUUGAGAAAAUUAGAGUGCUCAAAGCAGGCUUUUGCCUUGAAUAGUUUAGCAUGGAAUAAUAAAGUAGGACUUUGGUUCUAUUUUGUUGGUUUUAGGUACCAAAGUAAUGGUUAAUAGGAACAGUUGGGGGCAUUCGUAUUUAACUGUCAGAGGUGAAAUUCUUAGAUUUGUUAAAGACGAACUACUGCGAAAGCAUUUGCCAAGGAUGUUUUCAUUAAUCAAGAACGAAAGUUAGGGGAUCGAAGACGAUCAGAUACCGUCGUAGUCCUAACCAUAAACUAUGCCGACUAGAGAUUGGAGGUCGUCAGUUUAUACGACUCCUUCAGCACCUUGAGAGAAAUCAAAGUCUUUGGGUUCUGGGGGG